rnacentral:rRNA from 1 species
UACAGAGGUCCCAAGCGUUGUUCGGAUUCACUGGGCGUAAAGGGUGCGUAGGCGGUCGGGUAAGUCUGAUGUGAAAUCUCACAGCUUAACUGUGAAACUGCAUUGGAUACUAUCCGGCUAGAGGAAUGGAGGGGAGACUGGAAUACUUGGUGUAGCAGUGAAAUGCGUAGAUAUCUGGAGGAACAUCAGUGGCGAAGGCGACACCCUGGACUCAUACUGACACUGAGGUGCGAAAGCGUGGGGAGCAAACAGG